GUGCUGCUGAGAAGGAUGUACAGGGGCACCUGCAGCCAAAUCCAAGCCGCCUCAGCAACUUCAGGUCUGUCAGCGUGCUGAGGUCACAGAAACAAGAAAAGAAGCUUCAGACUUCAGAGUGUUGUUUACAGUUUUCUGUCAUCAUGAUCUCCCCUGAAGUUUAUCACUAUUAGGCAAGCAAUGGUGACGUUGUGGAGAGACGGUGGUGUUUCCUCAGAAGAACUAGCAGAGUCACAAAGAGCACGAGUCCAUCUCACCACCUUGACUUGCUGACUGAUGCUCGUCUGCACUGCACAGAGGAAAUCAACUGACCGAGGAGUGUUUCUGAGUGAGGGAGAGAGGAGUCAUCAUCCAGGUAAAGUGACGUGGAUCAGUGGAUACACUUGUCUCCCCUUUAAAGGAGACGAUCCGAGUCAUCCUUAAAUAUGGACAGGAUAUCAGUCUUGGACUGUCUAACCUGCCGGAGCAGCACUGAAUGAUCACCACACAUGAGCAUGUUCCUGCAACAUUCAGCAGCUUUGCUUUUGUGUCAAAUGUCAAACAGCUGGAGAGGAAACUACACCAGUGUACUGGGAUGUUUCACCAACACGUGCCAGAUGCUGUUCCUUCAUGGUUUCAUCACCAUUUAAGAAAAUAAUCCUUAGAAAUCGUUGUUUUUCUCUUUUGUAAUUGAUGAUAAUUCAGUGAAUAUACUGCGCUGCUUCCUUUUAUUGCGUCUCACAUUGCUUUAAGUUUUUCAGUGUCCAGUUAUUUUUUACUGCUGUUUGAAUUCUCUGCAUGUUUGACCCUGUAGACUGUUUAAUGGACUGCUUAUCUUCCUGUUUGUAACCGCUGCCUGUUUUUGACUAAAGGUUUGGAUUUCUGACUUUAACACAGCCUCUGCGUGUCCUCCCUUUGUGUCCUCUU